rnacentral:rRNA from 1 species
GGUGAACCUGCGGAAGGAUCAUUGUCGAAUCUGCAAAGCAGAGCAACCAGCGAACAUGUUUUACAUCUGUGGGAAGGGGGUGCUGGGACGAUGCUUUGGGUUGUGCCAGCCCCUCCCCCAUGUCGCGGGGCACUCCUACUUGGUGUGCUCCCCGGCGAAAAAAACAAACCACGGCGCUUACUGCGCCAAGGAACAUGAAAAGGAGUGUGCCUGUCCUAUGCAUCGGUUUGCCGGUGCGGGGAUGUGGCACCCAGUAUUAAGAGAUAAAACGACUCUCGGCAACGGAUAUCUCGGCUCUCGCAUCGAUGAAGAACGUAGCGAAAUGCGAUACUUGGUGUGAAUUGCAGAAUCCCGUGAACCAUCGAGUCUUUGAACGCAAGUUGCGCCCGAAGCCUUUAGGUCGAGGGCACGUCUGCCUGGGCGUCACGCAUCGCGUCUCCCUACCCCACAUCGUGUGGGAUGGGGAGGAAGAUGGCCUCCCAUGCCUCACCGGGAAUGGAUGGCCUAAAAAAGGAGCCCCUGGCUACAAGCUGCAGCGGCAUUUGGUGGAAGACAAGGCCUUGCCUAGUAUGCAUCCGCGUCGCUCAGCACGUAGGCCGUGGACUCGCAGGACCCUAACAUGUUGCCCCCUGACGGCGACAAACCUUUGCGACCCCAGGUCAGGCGGGG